CCGAGUGUGGGUCCCCUGUGGCCCCCCUUUCCCGGGGGGCCCGGGUUGGCCCUAGACCUCCCACCCUUGUCGAUUGUACCGUGUUGCUUCGGCGGGCCCGCCUCUGGCCGCCGGGGGGCUCGUGAACUUGUGAGCGUUGCCCCCGGGCCCGUGCCCGCCGGAGACCUCCCUCGAAAUGCUACUGUGGUCCGAAAUGCUGUCUGAGUGGGAAUGAUGUGAGAGAAAUUGAUCAGUCA
rnacentral:misc_RNA from 1 species